CGGAGGUGGCGAGCGUUACUCGGAAUCAUUGGGUGUAAAGGGCAGGUAGGCGGCCUAUUAAGUGAGGGGUGAAAUCUCCCGGCUCAAUCGGGAAACUGCCUUUCAUACUGAUAGACUUGAGUGUGAUAGGGGGAAGCGGAAUUAGCAGUGUAAGGGUGAAAUCUGUAGAUAUUGCUAAGAACACCAGCGGCGAAGGCGGCUUCCUGGAUCACAACUGACGCUGAUCUGCGAAAGCUAGGGGAGCAAACAGAAUUAGAUACUCUGGUAGUCCUAGCCGUAAACGAUGAGUACUAGGUGUUGGACCGUAAGGUUCAGUGCCGCAGCUAACGCAUUAAGUACUCCACCUGAGGACUACGACCGCAAGGUUA
rnacentral:rRNA from 1 species